AAUUCCAUCAACAUUUUUAAUGCAGCCAUGAAUUUUUAAUAUGUUUGACAUGAGCUUUUGUGAAUCAGGCAUUAAAUUUUAGUGAUUUAAAAACAAAUUUUGUUUAUUAACUCCCUUCUAUUGUGUAAAAUGCCCUCCUUCACAGCUUCAUUACUCCUUUGCUUGUGUUUUAAGUGCUUCAUUCAGUCAUAAUUAUCACCAGUGGUGUGAAAGGACGUUGAGACACGCUGUUGAAACCGUUGCUAAAGGAGCGGAUGACUAAACAAAGUAUGUCAUGUGACGACAGUCUGCGCCCGGCCGUAUGCAUUUCAGUUUAACAGCUGUGCUUAUCCUUGACUACCCAGAGAGACUCUCCACCAGGAAAAAUCUAUGAAGCAUGUAAUUUAUGGGAACAAUAGAGAAAACAUGUCCAAUUUAAAUAUCAUUUCUUGAGUACAAAUAUCAUAUUGCCAACAUUUCUCUUCACAUCAGCUGUCCACUGUUAUGGAAGGACCAGACGUUAGCCAUCAUGAAGAAUGGUCAAGGACCAGAAGCUCUGUUCAGGAUACAAAUGUUCAAGUUUGUUGGCAGCUCCUACACAGUUUUCAUGCACUGCAAUGUCCAGAUCUGUCAUAACACAGGAGGAGUGUGCCAGCCUAACUGCUCUGCUGAAGAUUUAUCAGUACGGACACGCAGGGAUGUUGCAUCGUCUCACACGGUCUCAUAUGGACCAAUCGAAAGGCUCAAAGCCAACAUGAAGAAUACUAGUCUGAGUUCAAAUAUGCCCUCUGUUGAAACGUUUGUUUUGGGUGGUCUGCUGUUCAUCCUGAUUGUCAUCACAGGAGUUUUUGGGAAACUCUGGCUGCAGAGCAGAAACUCGUAUCCAACCCAAGAGGCCCAACUCACCCUCUCCAACAUCCACCAUAUCUCAGAGGUGGCUAGCUAACCUGGGAUCUCAUGUACACACAGUGUUGUAUGAAAUAUGUUCAAUUUGGAAGUGUUGUCUGCUAACCUGUAGUGCAUUUUAUGGUAGUUGUUCUUUUUGUCUUUUAUUGUGAAAUAAAUAAACAAAAUGCUUUUUGAAUUUCUAACAGCUUACUUAUCAUAUGAGUGUGUGUAGUAUGAAUGUAAUAAAAGUCCCUUUAAGUGUUA